rnacentral:rRNA from 1 species
UACAGAGGUCCCAAGCGUUUGUUCGGAUUCACUGGGCGUAAAGGGUGCGUAGGCGGUCGGGUAAGUCUGAUGUGAAAUCUCACUGCUUAACUGUGAAACUGCAUUGGAUACUAUCCGGCUCGAGGAAUGGAGGGGAGACUGGAAUACUUGGUGUAGCAGUGAAAUGCGUAGAUAUCAAGUGGAACACCAGUGGCGAAGGCGAGUCUCUGGACAUUUUCCUGACGCUGAGGCACGAAAGCCAGGGGGAGCAAAACGGGG